AUUGUUGCAUAUAAACAUUAAAUUUAAGUGACAUGUCAAUAAAUUACAAAAACAAAAACUAAUUAAUCUGUUGCAUACAGCAUACGAAGCUAUUUAAAGACACCGCCCGGAAAUGCUACAUCAUUAUUGAUUUAUCAAGAUGACAAACUGCGAUAUUGUACAAUAUUGUCUGGUAUGGAAAGAGGAUAUUUCAAAUAUAUCUGUGGUUUAAUUUUGCAGCUUGAUCAUGAAAUUCUGGGAGUGCCACUGCAAACUUUCCUCACAGUUUCUAUUGUGAGUUAAGGAAACCAGUUGUUGGAUAUAGACAGGAGACAAAUAUAUCAUUAACAUGAUUUCAACAUUUAUAUUUUAUGUAUGUGAUUUGUAUGUUCCUGGAAGAGAAAUUCUGAGAAUUCUGAAAAUUACUGAGCACUGGAAAAUAAAUGUACUAUUAUUUCAUUUGGCGAAUACUCAAAUAAACAGGAAGUAUUCUUUAAAAAUCGAAAGAUACAAUAGACUUUGUGGUUAUUAAAUAAAAACUUACAUAAUUGUCUCGACUUUUAAAACAGGAAAUUAUCAAAUAACACUGUUGUUUAUCAUAAUUAUGUUAAGAAAAAAAAAAUAAAUCAAAAUUUUUCUGUGAUGAAUCUCUAUAACGGAAGUCUACAAUAUGAUUUUUUUUUUAAAAACAGAAUGACGUAAGAUCUAUUUCAGGAAGGAAACCACAAAUACAUGAUUGUGUACAGAGGAACAGUCAAUAUAAUUUCAAGAUAUGAAAACAGUGUCUUUACAGUAAUAUAUUAUGGAUAUAUGAAUAAUCAAAGAUCUUUCUGAAAAAGAAAACAACUGCUAACGACUUUGAUCAAUAAAAAAAAAAAACGGUUUAUAUUUUCGGAUGUUAGCAAGUCGACAGUGAGUCAAUCCUAAUGUCGGAUAUGGCGUGAUACUUGUAGCGUGAUCAGUUGAUAUCCAGCUGCACCAGACCAGAGGAGAACUAACCUGAGUUUUGAACACACACAUGCUUAGAGAAAGGCAGUUCCAAGCUGAUGUACCAGAGCAAUCAAUCAAGGGUUUCAUCACUGACUAAAGUAGAAGAUGGAAGUUGCUAAGCAGAGGGAGGACUGCAGGUCCUCCACUUUAUUUGCUACAGAUAAAAUAGCCUGGACUUCAGACCACAUUAGCAGGGGAAAAUCACCAUCCCCCUGCCCUUAAAACCCCUUAUCAAUGGUGUCAUUACCCACACUAAAGUUCAACAUUUGGCUCCUUUUAAAACGCUGUAGCAAGAUGAAGAACAAACACACAGAAACCAAGAUAUCUGUUAAAAUCCUAAGACACUCGCUGGACUUAUGGCAAACUGCAGUUACACUCGGACAACUCCUACAAUGUAGCUCCAUACAGAUGCAACAAAAAAUGUCAAGCUCUGUGAAAAAUUGACAUUUGAAAGCUGAUGGAUAACAAGAGCUGUCCGUAAGACAGCACGCUCUACUUUUCUUAGUGCUUGACUCUGAAUCAGAGCUUUGCCAGUAAAAGGGGCUUAACUCAAUCAAAUAUAUAAUCAGAGUUAUGGGGAUUGUUUCUCCUGGUGUAGACUUUGAUAGUAAAUAACUAUUUUACGUUUCAAGUGAAUAGCUUUGAUAGUGACAGAGAUAUCUGACUUUAUCAAAAACAUUAACUAAGGCAAUGGCCACGCCGGGGCGAGUGCAAUAGCUGAUUUUUCUUUGAAAAGUCGAGCAAAAAAUGGCAGAAAUUUUUUAAUUUAAACAGUAUUAUUUAAUGUAUUCCGUCCAUAACAGAAAACCCACUCUUCAAAAGCAUGUUUUCGGAAAACCAUCACAGGUAUCUUGCAGAGACAGUUGUGUUCUCAAGGUAAUCUUGAUUCAAUGUAUCAUGUUUGGGGAAAACCAUUGUAGCUCAACAGCUGACCUGAUCCAGUCCACAAGUCAGGGCUAACGAUUCACAGAUCUAACUAAGAAUUUCAUUGCAAGGACCAUACAGCCACAAUCAUUUUUAUAAAAUCAAUGAACUAAUCAAGCUAAUAUAAAAGUGUAUUAGGUCAAGUUAAGACAUUAAAAGAACAGCAGUUCUGCCUGCUCCUUAUUAUCUAAUGUAAACUAUUUCUUGUGUCUUCUGGAGAUAGCCGAUUCCUCCACAACCUCUGCUUUAUUAUAAAGCUUUUAAAGCAUGCAGAUAAUGGGAAUAUAUUAUUAAAAUCAGGCUUACAUAACAAAGUGUUAGCAUAUUCAUUUACACAAAUCAAUACCGUAAUAGUACGAGUAUAGGUCGCACUCGUUUAUAAGAAACAGUGAAAAAUUAUCUACAGAUCUCUGGAAAAAUGCUUAUACUCGUUGCAGAAAAAAAGGGAAUCUCAAAAACAUGUAAAUUUGUAUUAAGGAAAUGUGAUUUUUCCAGCAUCGGUAGGCCAUUGUUGCAGUACAUAUAAUGUUAACAAAGUUGUGAAAACAACUUAUUUAAAUUGCGAGGUGAGAUAGUACUAAAAUGACAGUUUCAAUGGAAUUUACAGCUGAGACAACAGAGGUAUAUCGGUGACAAUAACUGAGAGGUUAAUCAAGUGACAGAUGUCAAAUUGAGAAUGAGAUGCUAUUCAAAACACAGAUAUUUAAACUUGUGUCCAAACUAUUUCAAACUUCUCAACACCUUUUCAAUUUCAUCACCUUUCAAACAGGGUUAGAAUUUAACAGUUUUUUGCACAAGUUUGCAAAUUUUUGCAAGUACAAAAAUUUCAACUCGCAAUUUAUCAACUUUAGUCGCAAUUUUGUAUAACCGUUUUGGACAGAAAAAAAGGCUCUGUUCUCCAUGACACUACCGGUAAGUGUGUGUAGUACAAAACACGCUUUUUCCAUCAAAUAUUGUGCAUGCACAUACUGGUAGUCACCGUGUUAUGUAAUCAGAAUCUGCAAACAGUCCAUGCACUAUGUAAAAACGUCAUCAAUCAGUGCAUACUGUGUGAAACAUCAUCAUUAAAUGCGUAUUUACAACAUAUCAAAACGGAACGUUAAAGAAAUUAAAACCGUCGUUAUUUCUACUUGAGAUUUUGCACUCACGUUUGGGUAAAACUCACUCGCAUUUUGCGAGUAUACGAAAUGACGAGUUAUAGAAAUGUGUUGCAAAAUGUAUUUUAAUGAAAAAAAAACAGCAUUUCUUUUAAAGUUUUUGCGGGAGCUCUUAAUUUGAUAUUUUAUACAAAAUUCAUUUAAGAAGCCGGGUCUCGAUACCAGCUUUUAGCUAUUCCCGAGUCAUAGGUAGUUAUUCCCCUUGAAUUCCCUUCAAUGUAAAGGUACACGGUGUAAACAAAGAUAAAUUUUCUUAAUUUUUUGUGUCAGGGAAAAAAUGUGGUCUUGUUCUAUACCCAUGUAUAGGUCGCACCAGUCCUUCCUGACCAGAAUCUCGGUAAAAAAGGUUUGUCUUAUACUCAUACAAUGACAGUAGUUAUUCAAUUCAAUUUUAUAAACUUUCUCAGACGCAUACUGAAGAAAGGCACUAUUCAAAUUACAGACAGUUUAACUGGUAUGAACAUGUUUUUCUCUCUACUUAAUAACUUAAAUUUGGACUUUUUUCUAUGCAACAUUUCACCAAGAAAUAUAAAUUGAAACUAAUAAUAUAGUUUCAGCCUUGAAUACUUCACCAUAAAUAAGUAAAAAUAAAUUAAUUAUAACAAAACAGAGCUGUCACUGGUUGAAAUUUUUGUAUGGUAUAAUCGAUAUAUUAGCUGGUAAAUUGACAAAACAUCAAUAUAUAUACAUGUACAACACCCUUAUGCAGAAUUAUGGCAUAAAAAAUAGAUGUACAUCAAAAUCAAUUUCAGAGUUAGAGUAGAUUUUUUUGCCUUUGAAUAAAACAUGUUCUGCAUUUACAUGAAGAUUUAUCAAGAAAUAGUGUCACUGAACCUAUAAAACAGUGCAAAAUGCAAACAAGUCUCAAAUUAAGUACUUUCUGGGGUAAAAUUAUCCUUCUACUUUAAUUCUGUGAAUUACAUACAAAUGUAUAUGAAUGAAAACACUAAUAAACUCAAGGCAACUAGCAUCAUCACACAACGUGCCCCUUCCAGCACAUGAGAAACAUCUUCAAAUCAAGCAAAUAUCAUUGACUUCCAUCAACUGUUUAUUAAAAAACAUUCGUAUUUUCUUUUUGCGAAUUUAAUAUGUUAAAAAAACAAUUAAAAUGCUGGAACUACUUGAAAUGAAAUCUUCAUUUGGAAAAAGUAAAAAAAAAAAAUUGCUGAUGGGUAAUUACAAAGUAACUGGCAGGCAGGGCUGAAAAUCAAGCAAAUGCAUUUAUCUGCUAUGCUUUCCUCCAGCUGAAUAUGGCACAGUCAUUGUUACUUACCUGCAAAUCUUUCCGACAGUGGCAGCUCUGUCGGGUCAUUGACAGUGAUUCCCUUGUUAGGGGUAUCAACUGCCUUCUUCCAUGUAGCCAACCGUUCUGUGACCGGUUGGCUUGUCGGUUCAUCUCCCGACGUCAACUGCUCCCCAUCUUUCCGGUUCACAGGUACCUGGUUUGUUACUGUGCGAACCUAAAAAAACAGUCCAGUUAUUGAGUAUUUUAUUACUUCAGUUCUAUUAUCUUUUCCAAUUAUGUUGCAAACAUAAAUCUUAAAUCUUCUUCUCAAACAUGAAAUGUAAAUUGUAUCUUUUUUCAUUAAUAAACAUGAUAAAUUAAUGAAAUUCAAACCAUGUCACAAGGAAAGGUGAAAAAAGUUAUGUUGAAACUAAGCGUCUAGUAGUCAAGUUUAUUUACAAACAAACAAUGAAACAAAAUGUAAUGGAAAAACUCAAUAAUAAUAAUAAAAAAAAUGUUUUUCUUGGUUUUCUUGGUCCCUUUCUUUUCUAUCAGUUUCUAGUCUUUUUUUUUUUAAAAGAAUAUCUCUUGUACAGCAUUUCACACAUACAAUACAAAACACUUAGCAGAGAUAAUACAUGUUUGAAUGUUUACCUGGUGUGUAUAUUUUGGGGAGCCAACAGAUUGCGGCUGUUGCAGCUGUAUUGUAUGUGUGCUCACUUUGGGAGAGCCCGAGGGAGCACUGGGAGCUGGAGUCCUCUUAGGGGAAGCAGCCCUAGCUGGGGACGGUGCUCGAGGUGGUUUAGGGGGUCCAGAGAUAUUCUGUGGUACCGGUGGGGCUGGAGGAGCCGGGGCUUCUUUUUUCUUUGGUGAGGGAGCUGGACCAGGACCACUGUUGUGGUUUAUCCUCUUAGGUCCCUGGUACAGCUCAUACUCCUUCCUUGGUGAGGAGACAUGCCUGUCCCUAGCGUCAUUGUGUGGCUGGUUGUUACCACUAUCACGCUGGGGUGGCUGCCAUCUUGGUUUCUUUUCUUCUUGUUUUCUGUAGAGAAAAUAAUAAUACAUGUUAUAUGUAUAAAGACAGCACACUGACAUAACACAAACAGAAAUUAUAACAAAAUACCAAUAAUAAUAAUAAAUGGUAGUAAAUAUUCAAUACAUAUUUGACAAACAGAUUUGCAUAGUAAUCCUUCAUCAAUGUAGCACUACAGGGAAAAACUAAAGCUAUAAUACUAAUAACAAAAUUUUAAAUGAGAAUAAUGAUAGACAUUAUUUCAUGAGAUUCCGCAGCUUUUUUUAAUACACGUGACUUCCUGGUCUCUCAAGCCCUAACUGAGAUGGUUUUCCUAUUGGUAAAACUUGCUUUCAUUCUUCUUUCUUUUCGAUAGUGAAAACAUAUCAGAGGCUCUCAAGCUCAAUCUUAAGUUGCUGUUUACUAUGAUAUAUUUUUAUACAAUCAUGUGAUACAUGUACUACAAUAUUAAUGUACAUAGAUCAUAAUCGAACAUACAGAUUUACAUUUAGUAUAUAUUUAUGUUAAGAUUCUUA